GACUACAUGAAGCUGGAAUCGCUAGUAAUCGCGAAUCAGAAUGUCGCGGUGAAUACGUUCCCGGGUCUUGUACACACCGCCCGUCACACCAUGGGAGUCGGAAAUGCCCGAAGUCAGUGACCCAACCACAACGUGAACUUCGUUCGCGUGGAGGGAGCUGCCGAAGGUGGAGCCGGUAACUGGGGUGAAGUCGUAACAAGGUAGC
rnacentral:rRNA from 1 species